rnacentral:rRNA from 1 species
AGUGAACGCUGGCGGCGUGCUUAACACAUGCAAGUCGAACGAGAACGGAAUAUAGCUUGCUAUAUUUGUCAGCUAAGUGGCGCACGGGUGAGUAAUGUAUAGAUAACCUGCCCUUAAGAAAGGAAUAACAGUUGGAAACGACUGCUAAUGCCCUAUAUGCCUUUAAUACAUAAGUAUGCAAGGGAAACGCUUUAGUGCUUAAGGAUGGGUCUGUAUGGUAUCAGCUUGUUGGUGAGGUAAUGGCUCACCAAGGCUAUGACGCCUAACUGGUUUUAGAGGAUGAUCAGUCACACUGGAACUGAGACACGGUCCAGACUCCUACGGGAGGCAGCAGUGGUGAAUAUUGCACAAUGGACGAAAGUCUGAUGCAGCAACGCCGCGUGGAGGAUGACGCAUUUCGGUGCGUAAACUCCUUUUAUAUAGGAAGAUAAUGACGGUACUAUAUGAAUAAGCACCGGCUAACUCCGUGCCAGCCGCCGCCGUAA